UCGGUAUUAAACUAUGUUGCGACUCGCGAGACAGCUUAUGCAACGUACAACCCCCUACAUACAGAUGGAUCUGCGAAUGAAUGGAUAUAUAAGAAGUAAGGACACGGAGCGUAUGGAAAAGAACGACGCGCCGUAGCGGAGUUUUAAGUGACGGUGGCGACUGCAGCGCCAUCUGCCAUUAAACUAACUCCGGGUAAUUGGAAGCGAGUUAAAAGAAACUCGGCUCGCGGCUAUCUCCUUAAUAAAUACGUUGCUACCGUGUGUGUUGCUCGAGUGAUAAUAAAUAUAUUAAAUAAAUAAUAGCCCGUGGGAGAUACGCGAGUAAUUGCGAGUGCCGGACUUUACGUGUGCCAUGGACAUUUUUCAACGACAGUCCCUUACCGACUGACAGGUCUCCGCUGGGUUUGAGGUUAAGCCGUGCCACGGGAUUACGUGCGUGAGUCGGAACAGUGACAAUUUACUCUCAGUCAAUUAUUUCUGUAAAGACGUCUCGUCGAUCUAACCUCGAAACUACAAGGAUUCUCAGAUAGUUAAACGGUAGUCUGGUGCGUGUUUGUUCAGUCAUAAUAGCAACGUAACUCGGGCACCGCACACGCAAUACUGUAAACGUGACGGCCGACGAGCAGUUCUUUGAUAUCGCUGAAGCGUGAGGACGUUUUGGUAGAUGGACGGACAGACGGAUGGAUGGAUGGAUGGAUGGACCAGGGGGUCUGGUUAUGAUUGUGAUAUUACAGUUGGUUCGCAGCCUCUCGGAAUGUAUCCCUCAUCUCUCUCUCUCGCGCGCUCUCUCCGGUAUUCACUCACCUUCCACUCUCUUCGCCUUUCUCUCUCUCUCUCUCCCUCUCGCUUUCUACGUGUGUAGUUCUACGUGGAUGCAUGCCUGCCCAUCAGCUCGCGCAACGGAGAGCUAAUCAAACGGGCCAACCCGCUGUGCGAAUAUUAAUUAAACUCUCUGUUACGCCUGAAUAGCACAUACGUACAGAGAGAUAGAGAGAGAGAGAGAAUAUGAGUGUGAGUCCUAAAAGGGUAGAAUAGACUGGGGUAAAUGGAAAGAGAAAGGCCAAAGGUAAGGUGCCAAGUUAGAGAUAGAAAAUUGAAACCUCAAACACCUAAGCAAGGUAUACCUAUAUAUAUUUUUAAAUUAACGUCUUCUCGCAUAUAUAUUAUAGUUAUAUUUUUCAGAUUAAUAAAACCAGUACCAAGAUCAGGUGUCAAGUGGGACUUUAAAAUAUGACUCGAUACUCAUGAUCUCCAUUCCCUAUCAAGUACUACCCAUUCUCAAACGUAUUUCCAACUGAACGUGGAAGUGGGGAAAGGCGGGUGAUGGCACCUACGCCAUGGGGCAUAACGACCCAGAAGAUGGUGGCUGUGUUUUAUCGCGUGGAACAUAGUAGUCUCCGACAAUAAUAUAACAUUAUCGGCAUAGCGAGAUCUUCUCUCGCCUCUGUAAUUGUUACUAUUGAGAUAACCAGAGUGUGCAGUUGGUAUGUGCUAUGUGCCUUGUAGACCGUACGUACCAUCGCGCCACAUAACUAACCGCAAUAAGAUGCGAUUUAAAUAAAUUCCACAUACGAGAGCGUAUAACAGGGAGCGACUCCGAUGGCAACUGGCUGAUGUUAUCGUUCUUCUAGUUCCUUCGAUGGCUGCCUAUAGAUAGGACAUUCUUCGAAAUCGCGGAAUACUUUGGGAUCCUUGUCAGUACCCUCUCUUCACUCCCUGGCAUCACUUUUGCGCGACUCAAGAUUUUCAUAGGUCGCUCGGUGAAACUGUUAUAUAGAUGUCAGAUUUCAACGCUGUAAAACUGUAUAUGGCCGCUGUAAAAGCGGCGCCUUUGAUAGCCAGGUACCCCAUAAUGCGAUGAUACAUACACGAGGAUGCCCUGUGUCAUAAAUACCUUGAGAUUUCUUUUUUUAUUAUAAAUUGGGUCCUGGCACCGAUGGCUGAUGGGGUAAACUUUGUCAGUUCAAUGAUACCCACUCAACGUCACUCGGACAGUGCAGUUUGGUCCCAUAAUUAUGGGGUCCCAUAAUAAUUUUGUAUAUCAGCGCUUUCCAACAGUGGGCUGAUCUUAUCUGCUGGGAUGCUGGCAAGUUUACUAUUAUUCCUGGACCAGUCUUAUUCGCUGCUCUUCUUCUACGGCGCAGCACUACGGUUUCCCCCUUUUAGGGAUUUCCGGGUUGCGCAGUCGUCGUUUGCGCAAUCAACUACCACGUGCUCGCUGCCUAUGCCAAUGGCGGCUGUACUAAACAGCCGUGGAUAGGUCAGGAUAGAAUAAGACGAAUGGACUGGCUUUUCUAGGUAUCGUCGGAUAUAAUGAUUUCCUUACUGGGAACAAUUUAUACCACGACUUUUAGGAUCUCAUUGAGGUUCGUGAUGUGAACUUACUGUAGAAACUCCAUAGCAGCGAGACGCUCAUGUUCUGGUAGAUUCCUUCCAUUUUUAUCAAGCCGAUAAUCACGCCGAUACUUUGACAGUGCGACGACUGUGAACCUACCGUCCGUCCUGGAAAGACUGACUAGCCAGGGUGACUUUUACCCUGGUAAGAGGGAGGCACGGUUACCCAGGAAAAUCUCUAUAACGAUGGCUUCGACACCACUCACGUUUUGGGGCUCUUUUAAUUUUUGCCAAAAAUUACGGAAAAUCACCAGAAAAAUCAGAUCCUAGCUACGGGCAUUCUUGAUUGGUCUGUCGGAUUUUCAAAGCCAUCGCUAGCAUCCCCUAAUAUGCACCCUAGCGUAGCGCACUCGCUAAAGAGCGACCACUGACAGCCAGACAGAGAGACCGACUGACUGACUGACUCUUGUGCCGGGCCAACAAAAGACUGGCAUUGUGCGUACCUACAGAUUAGUGGACUUAUACAAAAGUCACUCGGAUCGUAGCAACCCUCCCCUUUACCAUACCAAUUCUAAACCACCCCUGUACCCCGGCCCUGUAAAACACCCCUAUACAGUUCCUGGUUAUCCUCUAUACCCAGAGAUCCGACACUCUCGGCAUCCUUCUCUCUGCACACCUAUCCCACACCUCGGGCCGGCAGCCUGUGUGUCACGUACUGAAUUCUGCA